rnacentral:lncRNA from 1 species
GUGGCCAUUACUACCAGUGUAGCAGGAAAGCACUGAGGACUCAGGGUCCCAGGAUUAGGAGGGAACGUCUAUGGAGGUUUCAGCACAGGUCUUAGGGGCCACAGUUUGUGGCAGUAUCCAAAAACAAGGAGUGGACCCCCAUCAAUCAAACUGGGUUGCCUGGUCAAGCACAUGAAGAUCAAGUCUCUGAAGGAUAUCUACCUGUUCUCCCUGUCCAUCAGAGAAUCCUAGAUUAUUGACAUUUUCCCGGGAGCAUCUGUAAAGGGUCAUGAUAGUGCAGAAGCAGACUCUGGCUGGACAGGGGACCAGGUUCAAGGCUUUUGUCGCUAUUGUGGACUACAGUGGUCAUGUUGGUCUUGGUGUUAAGUGUUUCAAGGAGGUAACUAUCCUUGGAGCCUCCAUGGGGCCAUCAUGCAGAGAGACUACUUGGGGAAUAAGAUUGUCAAGUCCCACAUUGUUCAGUGCAAGUUGACAAGCUACUGUGGCUCUGUAUUGUUAUGUCUCAUCCCUGUCCCCAGAGGCACUUGCAUAGUCUCUGAUUCUUGCCCAAAAUGCAACUGAUGGUCACAUCAGCCAGGUGAUACCACCCUUCAUGCCCUCUCAAAGACCUACAGACACCUGAGCCCUGAUCUCUGAAAAGAGACUGUGUUCACCAAGUCUCCUUAUCAGGAAUUCACUGAUCAUCUUAUGAAAACCCAUACUGGAGUCUCUGUUCAAAGG